CCUUUCUACGGAGAAUUCAGGGCGCUGUUCGGCGUCCGGUGUCGGGCCGGCCGGGGAUGUUCCCUGGUGUGGUCCUGCUGGUGUGGAAGAGAUCAUGAGGGCUUUUGGUGGUAUGGGCAUGCUUUUGGGUUCCCGGACCGCCACCCCGUCGUUUUCGGCGGUGCGGUUCGUGCCCCUGGUGGCCGGUUCCCGUGUUCGGGGGUCGUCCGUCUUGGUGCGUGGUGGUUUGAGAACUGGAUAGUGGACGCGAGCAGGACCGUUUUUUGCGGUCUUGUUUAUGAGAAUGCAAUUUUAAUGGACCGGUCUCCGAUUCUUUUGUUUCGGGGGUUCGGUCGAUCGUUUUGUGAUCAUUCAAUGUGAUGAUUUGUUGUCAUGGGUUUUUCGUGUGGGUUCUUGCCGCAGGGUGCACUUGGUGUG
rnacentral:misc_RNA from 1 species